AUGCGAAACGCCAGUACACAUACUAAAAUUGGAACGAUACUGAGAAGAUUAGCAGGCUUCCUGCGCAAGGAUGACAUGAAAACUCGUGAAGCGUCCCAUAUUUUC